rnacentral:rRNA from 1 species
AGUGAACGCUGGCGGUAGGCCUAACACAUGCCAGUCGAACGGCAGCACAGUAAGAGCUUGCUCUUACGGGUGGCGAGUGGCGGACGGGUGAGGAAUACAUCGGAAUCUACUUUUUCGUGGGGGAUAACGUAGGGAAACUUACGCUAAUAGCGCAUACGACCUACGGGUGAAAGCAGGGGAUCUUCGGACCUUGCGCGAUUGAAUGAGCCGAUGUCGGAUUAGCUAGUUGGCGGGGUAAAGGCCCACCAAGGCGACGAUCCGUAGCUGGUCUGAGAGGAUGAUCAGCCACACUGGAACUGAGACACGGUCCAGACUCCUACGGGAGGCAGCAGUGGGGAAUAUUGGACAAUGGGCGCAAGCCUGAUCCAGCCAUACCGCGUGGGUGAAGAAGGCCUUCGGGUUGUAAAGCCCUUUUGUUGGGAAAGAAAAGCAGCAGGUUAAUACCCCGCUGUUCUGACGGUACCCAAAGAAUAAGCACCGGCUAACUUCGUG